GCCUCCUUUGCGCAGCAGUGGGGAAUUUUGCGCAAUGGGGGAAACCCUGACGCCGCACCGCCUCGUGCGGGACGAAGGCCUUCGGGUUGUAAACCGCUUUCAGCAGGGACGAAUUCCGACGGUACCUGCAGAAGAAGCCCCGGCUAACUACGUGCCAGCAGCCGCGGUAAUACGUAGGGGGCGAGCGUUAUCCGGAUUCAUUGGGCGUAAAGCGCGCGUAGGCGGCGCGUCAAGCGGGACCUCUAACCCCGGGGCUCAACCCCGGGCCGGGUCCCGGACGGGCGCGCUCGAGGGCGGUAGAGGCG
rnacentral:rRNA from 1 species